CCCGUUCCACUCCAAUGCGGCCGCACCCCAGGGCGUCCUCUCUCGGGAAAGCUCAACCAUCGAGCUCAGAGGACCCCGGACACCCCAAUCCGGCCGCACUCCAUCUCUCGCGCUCGGUGCACCCCCGACACCCCCAAUCCGGCCGCACCGCAAGGGCGCCCCCUCUCGGGAAAGCGCAGGCUCGCGGCAUUGCGCACGGCCGCUCCGCCCUCACCUGAGCCGGAGGUUGCCCAUGAACUCGGGCAUGGAGACGGUGUCCAUCAACACGAAGUCCGCCUUCCCGAACUCCAGGCUCUCCUGCUCCGCCAUGGCGCCGGCGCACGGGCUCAGGAAAUCUAGAAGCCCCCAAAGACCUGGCUGGACUCCUACACUAUGGCUGACUGUGAGAUGCGUAAGCCAGACCUAAGGACCUUGCUCACGUUUGCUGCAGCUUCCAACAACCCACCCUGGCCAAGAGAGAGGGUAAGACAGCUUGAUCACCUCCUGCAUGAGCACGUCUGCCAUGAGAAAGCCACCCCAAUCUCUGUCACAGGCAGAGAUGAGUUGUAGUCUGACUACCAUUAGCAGCUCUCGUUCUUCAGAAGACACCUCUCUGAAUCUCAGCAUCCUCGUUUGUGGAAUAAGACCUCUGGGUUAGAUACUUUCCAAGACCCACCCAGACUUCAGUGGGUGCUCCUGGAUCUUGGAUGCACUGGGAGCUCUGGAGGAUUGGUGGCUGGAACGGGUU